CCGAGUUUACAACUCCCAAACCCAAUGUGAACCAUACCUAGACGUUGCUUCGGCGGUACCGCCCCGGCGCCCUCGGGCCCGGAACCAGGCGCCCGCCGGGGGACCAACCAAACCCUUUCAGUGAAUCCCGGGGCCUCCCCGGCGGCAUUAUCUGAGUGAAGCGAAAUAAAAACGCAUCA
rnacentral:misc_RNA from 1 species